CCGAGUUUACAACUCCCAAACCCCUGUGAACAUACCACUUGUUGCCUCGGCGGAUCAGCCCGCUCCCGGUAAAACGGGACGGCCCGCCAGAAGGACCCCUAAACUCUGUUUCUAUAUGUAACUUCUGAGUAAAACCAUAAAUAAAUCA
rnacentral:misc_RNA from 1 species